rnacentral:tRNA from 2 species
GCAGGGGUUCCCGAGUCGGUCAAAGGGGCCGGACUUAAGCUCCGGUGCAAAGUGCUUCGCAGGUUCGAAUCCUGCCCCCUGCACCA